GUGUGUUUGUGUGUGGAUGGUGUUCAGCACCAAGGACAGGUGUGCUAGUGUGAGGAUGGUGUUAAGGACCAGAUAGAUCUAGUUUGCGU
rnacentral:pre_miRNA from 1 species